GAUUUCAAGACAAUUUCUUCUUGAAAUUUCGGUGGGAAACAGCCAUGGAAGAGGGUUUAGAGCUGGUCUUCCAUAUUUUAGCUUCAAAUCAAGAAAGAAGAAAUAGUGGAAGUGAUCGGGGAAAAGAGAAAGUUAUCGACUAAAUUACAAAAAAUAGUCGUUUUGCAUCCGAGUGAUUUGAACUUGAUCGAAUAGUGGACCGUCGGAGCUCGUAUCACACUAUCAUAAUCAUCUCGGUAUUAUGUGCUUUUCAAAAUGUUUAAACUAUGGCAUGUAUGGAGUCUUGAUCAUUUUGAGCAUGUUCAAAUGAUAUAGCUAAUAUUAGCUAUUGAAGUAGCUAUUAAAGAAUAUGUUUUGGUGUUAUGUAUGUUAAAAUGGUAACUAAUUCAAAGAAGCAGUUUCUUUGACAGCAGCAGUGACG